rnacentral:rRNA from 1 species
CAGCCGUAAACUAUGCGCGUUAGGUGUAUCGGUGACCACGAGUUACCGAGGUGCCGAAGGGAAACCGUGAAACGUGCCGCCUGGGAAGUACGGUCGCAAGGCUGAAACUUAAAGGAAUUGGCGGGGGAGCACCACAACAGGUGGAGCCUGCGGUUUAAUUGGACUCAACGCCGGGAAGCUCACCGGAUAGGACAGCAGAAUGAUUGCCGGGCUGAAGACCCUGCAUGACUAGCUGAGAGGUGGGCAUGGCGUAGACGUCU